rnacentral:rRNA from 1 species
GAUGAACGCUGGCGGCGUGCCUAAUACAUGCAAGUCGAGCGAACUGAUUAGAAGCUUGCUUCUAUGACGUUAGCGGCGGACGGGUGAGUAACACGUGGGCAACCUGCCUGUAAGACUGGGAUAACUUCGGGAAACCGAAGCUAAUACCGGAUAGGAUCUUCUCCUUCAUGGGAGAUGAUUGAAAGAUGGUUUCGGCUAUCACUUACAGAUGGGCCCGCGGUGCAUUAGCUAGUUGGUGAGGUAACGGCUCACCAAGGCAACGAUGCAUAGCCGACCUGAUAGGGUGAUCGGCCACACUGGGACUGAGACACGGCCCAGACUCCUACGGGAGGCAGCAGUAGGGAAUCUUCCGCAAUGGACGAAAGUCUGACGGAGCAACGCCGCGUGAGUGAUGAAGGCUCUCGGGUCGUAAAACUCUGUUGUUAGGGAAGAACAAGUACAAGAGUAACUGCUUGUACCUUGACGGUACCUAACCAGAAAGCCACGGCUAACUACGUGCCAGCCGCCGCGGUAAAAC